rnacentral:lncRNA from 1 species
CAUUAAGGUACUCCACAAGAAGAUCAACCCCAAGACACAUAAUCAUCAGAUUCUCCAAAGUUGAAAUGAAGAUCAAAGAGAGUAGAGGAAGAAUGAACAGGAGAAUCCCUCACAAAGGAGAAAAGUGAUUUGUCAGAAUCCAUUUUACAUGCAAUUUCUUUACUCCUUCAUAAAAAUCUCUUCCUUCUGGAAUAAACACUGGAAUGUGAGUUCCUUCUCUGCAGGAACGUGCUAACAGUAUGUAUAUUUUUGGUCAUAUAUUCCCCCUCUCUGAUAUCAGGAUGUAGCCUGUGGGCCUCAUGACAGGUAUUGUUCC